GGACGGAGGUCAAGAGAAUAUGCAGCUGUCACAGCUUGGACAUAAUGUCAUUCGCCAUGGCAUACAAGUCCACCUGGGCACAUCAAGUCAAACAUCCCCACUAAACGCUGGUAACGGUGAGUGACUCAUGGCUGAGAAUUAAAGUCUGUAUGGUAAAAACAGGUGAGCAAAGUCUUCCAAGAAAAUCUUCAGUGACUUGUAUUUUCCAUCCAUCUUUGUAUAAAACAAAUCUAUAAUGAAACAGAAUCAAGAAAUAUUUUUAAUUUUUAUUUUUAGCAAUGGCAGCGAGCAGGCAAAAUCCAGGCGAAAAUGAGGCAAGCCAUAUACAUGUGGCACCAGUGUACAUGCGUGAAGCACCACAUGGUCAUGCUUUGGAGAAGAAGGUCAGCUGCCAUGUUGAAAAUGAAAGAAAAUUCACACAUGUGGUUGCCUAAAAGAAAGAGCAAGUGCUUCAAAGCCUGUUUUUCUUUUCUUUGGGUUUGUUGUUUUUCUUGUUACUUAUUUUUUUCAGGGAAUAAUAUCAGGUCACCAAUAUAACAAGAGGAAAAUCAAAUAGUUAGGCUUACCACUUUAGGAAGUAUAUUUAGAUGUGUGCAUAUAAGAAGGUUUGAAAUGUAUAAAUGUAUGUUUUACGUGAAGGUAACAAUAAAUAUCAG
rnacentral:lncRNA from 1 species